rnacentral:scRNA from 1 species
CGUCUGACCAGUUCAUAUUGUUGACGGCCCAGUCC